rnacentral:rRNA from 1 species
AGGUGGCUGCUGUCGGGAUGAGAUUAAGUCAUGCAACUGAGAGCACUACCUAUGUAUGUGCUCCGGGCAAGUCUGAGUAACGCGUAGUCAAUCUACCCUGUGGUUGAUGAUAACCCCGGCAAACUGGGGAUAAACGUCGAUAAUCACCGUCUGUUGGAAUACUUCGGUGAUAAAAGGAGUGUAAACAUGGUUAUACACGCCACAGGACGAGACUGCGUCUGAUUAGGUAUUGCGUGGGGUAAUGGCCCACGUAGCCUUAUCAGUAGGGGCUAUGGGUAGUAGUAUCCCCCAGUUGAAUCCUGAGACACUGAUUCAGGGCCUAUGGGUUGCAGCAGGCACGAAAACUUCACAAUGCACGAAAGUGUGAUGAGGUCAUCCCGAGUCCUAGGCUUACGUGGGGGGUUUUCUGGAGUGUGAAAAGCUUCAGGAAUAAGGAGGGGGCAAGAACGGUGCCAGCCGCCGCGGUAAAACCGUCUCUUCGAGUGGCCACCGCGUUUACUGGGCUUAAAGCGUGCGUAGCGGGAUUAGUCCGUCCCACAUUAAAGACGGCUUCUUAAGGGUCCGAAAUGUGUGGGAAACAGCUGAUCUUGGCAAUGGGAUAGGGGCUCGGUACCCGUGGUGUAAAGGUGAAAUUUUAUAAUCCCACGGGGACCACCGAUGGCGAAGGCAGAGCCCUGGAACAUGUGCGACCGUCAGGCACGAAAGGNUGGNUAGCNAGCNGGAUNAGAUACUNGNUUAGAUGAUNNGANUCAGCUGNAAAACCCGGNUAGUNCCACCCCNUAAACGAUGCGGAUUANAGUGUAUGGGAAGCGUAUGCUUUUCCAUUUGCCGGUAGGGGAAACCGUUAAAUUCCGCCGCCCUGGGAAGUAUCGCUCUGCCAGAGUGAAACUUAAAAGCCAAUUGGCGGGGAGAGGCGCCCACACAUGGGUGGGAGGCCUGCGGGGUUUAAUUUGAACUCAACGCCCGGGAAACUCACCCAGAAGUCUUUUUUUCCGAUUGCCCAACCAGGCUUGAAGAAGCUUGUUGAAAAGGAUUGAAAAGGGAAGUGGCAUGGCCGUCUUUCCAGGCUCGUGCCCGUGGAGGUGUCCUUGUUAAGUCAGGCACCCCAGCCGAGAUUCUCCCGGGGAAUACUUUACCAGCCGGAACCCUAAUCGGUUUGCCCGGGCACAAGUAUUUCCCGACUGCCCACUGCUAAAGUGGAGGAAGGCCGGGAGGCCAAGGCAGGUCAGUAUGCUCCCUAAUACUCUGGGCCGCACGCGGGCUACAAUGCUACGGACAACGGGAUCCUACUCCGAAAGGCGACGGAAAUCUCUAAACCGUAGCUCAGUUGGAAUUGCGGGCUGCAACUGCCCGCAUGAACUUGGAAUCCAUAGUAAUCGUGUGUCAUCAUCGCACGGUGAAUACUGUCCCCUCUCUUUGCACACACCGCCCGUCGCAGCACGCGAGAUGGUCAAGUGAGAGGC